AUUCACAGGCAGUUGGUUAUGCCAAAAGAAGUAGGAGUUAAUAUCUGCAUUUUACUGCUGAUAAAAUUCACUCAAAAAAUUACAACCUAACCAAGACGAAGACUCUAGCAAGGUUAGAAGAGAAACGUGACUCCACAUCUGUUGGGCUCCAGAGCCUGCAGAUGAGGUUGCUUUAGUGAUUAAGGGAGCUGGAGUUCCUUCUAGCCAAGGACUUAAGGUUCUUACGAGUCCUUGAAAAUGAGUCAGUGGUGGAAUGUUUUAGACAGUGGGAACUUAUAUGUGCAAAGUUUUGGAAAUCAGAAAUACCAGAUACAUUUCUGAGAAGGCCGGUCCUCCAUACCAAAACAUUCUUCCCUCCAGUUUUCAGUGAGAAGACUGAGCAGGGUGGAGACGAAAAGCAAUAGCUUACAGCUGGAGAAGUAGUUUGGGACUCAUCUCCGCUUAGACUGACCCCAGCUGAAACUACAGCUCAAGAGGUAUGAGGAAUCAGUGGGUCGGGAGCAGGUGGCCCACUGGCUGAAGGUGCGACGCUGCUGCUGUCCAGUCCCAGGCUUGUCACCAGCCUCACCCAAGAGCACUCCCUGAGCUGUGUGUGCGUGAUGUCUGACACUGAAACCCACAACACGCAUUCUCCCACUGCUCAUCCCCGACUCUACAGAGCAUCAAGCUAUUGCCUUGUUAUCCUCUUCCCAGGGUUGUUUUCAAACUCUUCACGUUGUCUGACUUCAUACCCAGCACAUCCUCUAAGACCUGCAAUGACUGCUUCUCAAUUCUUACUGUUUUUUGUCACUUUUCUUUCAAUCCGAUUCAAAAAAUGUUUACCCAGCUCCAUGCCAAAUCCAGGAACUAUGCUAAGAAUUGGAAUUUAAAAGAAAAUAAGGCAUGAACCCUAUUCUCAGGGAAGUCACAGUCUAAUGAGGAAGAACAUCACACAGUACAUCACAUUAAUACAGGACUGUGAGCACAACAGAAGAAUUAAGCACCUGCCAGGGCAGAGGGGAUGUGGAGGAAGGGAGCCUGGGGAAUGAUGGCUGGUAGUGACUGAUAGUGAUAAUUGCUUUCAAUACACAAUGUGUUUAUGCUAGAUAACACUGAAUCAGCGUAAAUAAAACAAGUGCUGUAUUAUGAGGGGAAAUUAAUGGAACCAUAACCAAGUUAGGACACUAAGCCAAUUCUGCAAAUCUUUAACAGAUCAAAUAGCCAAGAAUAAAUGGGUUAUAGGGAAACUGAAUAAUACAGUAAAUAAAGUUUAUUUGCUAGAUGUAUAUAUUUUAUACUUCACAGUCUUUUUAAAUGGCCGUAGGAUAUUGGAAACAAAAUAAAACAUAUUACAUUCUAGACACACACAGACCCUUAACACAGCCUAAAAGCUGAAAUUAUAUUAAAAUAAAACAUAAAUUAAAAUUAAUGCUUUUAUGGGUCUUUGUAAAUAUCAAUAAAACAAACAACAUUCUGAUAAAUUUAACUAAG
rnacentral:lncRNA from 1 species